rnacentral:sRNA from 1 species
GUUAUUAACUAGUCCAGCCCUGGCCUUAGUGACUCAUUUUCUGUUUUUUUUUUUUUGUCACUGACAACAAAAAAAAAAUUAAAACAAAUAAAAUGAGUCACUGAGGCCAGGGCUGGACUAGUUAUUAAC